CAUUGAUCUCGUCCCCAUGAACCUGCCUCAUUCAGUGACCCGGGAUGUAAAAUUCAGAGCCUACUUCAUCCCCAAGCAGCUGUGCCAUGCGUGAGAUAUGAACAAGCCAGAACAUGGAGAGCAGAGGUGGUCAUGAAGUUCCACCCCUAGCUGAGGAGCUACUGCCAGUUCAUCUCUCUUUGUAUUUGGUCUAUGUGGUACUACUGUAAUAACAUCUCUGACAUCCGUGCUGCAUGAUGACAAAGAAUUUCCCAACCCAGACAAGUU